rnacentral:rRNA from 1 species
UGGGGAAGUAUUGCACAAUGGAGGAAACUCUGAUGCAGCGACGCCGCGUGGAGGAAGAAGGUCUUCGGAUUGUAAACUCCUGUUGUUGGGGAAAAUAAGGAUGGUACCCAACAAGGAAGUGACGGCUAACUACGUGCCAGCAGCCGCGGUAAAACGUAGGUCACAAGCGUUGUCCGGAAUUACUGGGUGUAAAGGGAGCGCAGGCGGGUAUGCAAGUUGGAAGUGAAAUACAUGGGCUCAACCCAUGAACUGCUUUCAAAACUGUGUAUCUUGAGUAGUGCAGAGGUAGGCGGAAUUCCCGGUGUAGCGGUGGAAUGCGUAGAUAUCGGGAGGAACACCAGUGGCGAAGGCGGCCUACUGGGCACCAACUGACGCUGAGGCUCGAAAGUGUGGGUAGCAAACAGGAUUAGA